rnacentral:rRNA from 1 species
GACGAACGCUGGCGGCGUGGAUUAGGCAUGCAAGUCGAACGGUAUCAUCCUUUCGGGGGUGAGAGAGUGGCGAACUGGUGAGUAACACGUAGGUUAUCUACCCUCAAGACGGGGACAACCCAGGGAAACUUGGGCUAAUACCGGAUGUGAGCAACUUUUAGUUGUUUGAAAGGUGGCGUAAGCUGUCGCUUGGGGAUGAGCCUGCGUCCUAUUAGUUAGUUGGUGAGGUAACGGCUCACCUAGGCAAUGAUAGGUAGGCGGCCUUAACGGGUGGUCGCCCACACUGGGAUUGAGAUACGGCCCAGACUCCUACGGGAGGCAGCAGUCGAGAAUAGUCUACAAUGGUCGGAAGACUGAUAGUGCGACGCCGCGUGAACGAUGAAUCCCUUCGGGGUGUAAAGUUCUUUUAUAUGUGAGCAGUGCUUCUUAAUAUUAACAGUAUGGGGAGAGAGAUAUUAGCAUAUGAAUAAGCAACGGCUAACUCCGUGCCAGCAGCCGCGGU